UUUCAUCUUCUCGAGAGAAGAUUGGAUAACUAAUUGGUGGUUUCAUGUGUUCUAAACUCCAGGUUUCGAAAUUUGAAUGGCAGACUUAAUGAGAAGUCAUGUCCUUUCAAGAAAGUCAACAAGGUCCCUUGUUUACUAACCUGUUGGCUGGUGGCUGCUACCCUUGAAUCUCCCUUUUUACUUUCUUAAGCGGGGCAUCUUUAUUUGAGGGUAAUCCUUCGCUACUUGUCAUGGACUUCAUCCACUGGUGAAAACCGACGAGAAAAUGCUGUAAUCCAAGACUGAUAAAUUGUGUAGUUAGCUAAAUUGCAAGUGCAUACCUGGGCUCCCUUCUUUUCUGUGGCCCCGUUUCCCUAACUAACCACUAACCAACGCCCGCCGGUGGUCACUCACCCGCUGUGAAACCAGGAGGAGGGGAGGGCUCUGGUCGAACGGGGACUUGGA